rnacentral:rRNA from 1 species
CAACACCCGUUCCCAUGCCGAACACGAAGGUUAAG